GAUGAACGCUGGCGGCGUGCUUAACACAUGCAAGUCGAACGGAAAGGCCCAAGCUUGCUUGGGUACUCGAGUGGCGAACGGGUGAGUAACACGUGGGUGAUCUGCCCUGCACUUCGGGAUAAGCCUGGGAAACUGGGUCUAAUACCGGAUAGGACGAUGGUUUGGAUGCCAUUGUGGAAAGUUUUUUCGGUGUGGGAUGAGCUCGCGGCCUAUCAGCUUGUUGGUGGGGUAAUGGCCUACCAAGGCGUCGACGGGUAGCCGGCCUGAGAGGGUGUACGGCCACAUUGGGACUGAGAGACGGGCCAGACUACUACGGGAGGCAGCAGUGGGGAAUAUUGGACAAUGGGCGGAAGCCUGAUGCAGCGACGCCGCGUGGGGGAUGACGGCUUUCGGGUUGUAAGCUCCUUUCGCUAGGGACGAAGCGUUUUUGUGACGGUACCUGGAGAAGAAGCACCGGCUAACUACGUG
rnacentral:rRNA from 1 species